rnacentral:rRNA from 14 species
GACGGUGGCCAUGGAAGUCGGAACCCGCUAAGGAGUGUGUAACAACUCACCUGCCGAAUGGAAUAGCCCUGAAAAUGGAUGGCGCUUAAGCGUGUGACCGAUGCGCGGCCAUUGCUGCAAGUUGCAGGCGGUAAUGAGUAGGAGGGCGUGGGGGUUGUUGCGAAGGCUAAGGCGUGAGCCCGGCUGGAACGGCCUCUAGUGCAGAUCUUGGUGGUAGUAGCA